rnacentral:tRNA from 1 species
CAAAAAGUAGCUUACACCCAAAGCACUUGACCUACAACCAAGAGACGCUACACUCUAGCCUUUUUGA